CUUACCUUUUUAUUUGGAUCCUAUUCACAUCCCAGCAUCAGAACUUGCUAAACGCUUUCUCCUUCUCCUUCUCAUUCCCCUUCCCUUCAUUGCAUCCCCGACCUAGGAUUCAUCUCUGUAUAAAAAACAACCAGCAAUAAUUUCGUUAACGAAAAGAAAAAAGCCCUAUCCAUUUCUAGUCUUUCGAUAAAUGAAACUCUCAACAAUUCAGUGAUUUUUUCUCUUUAAUUUUUUCGUCUAUUUCCCUUCAGCGAUUUGCCACUUCAAACGAAAUCAGUUGAUUCAAGUUUGAAAGUCAAUUGUCAAAAUAGACGGUGAGACAAUUAACUAUGGGAAAUAAUGAGAAAUUGAGAACCGUUUUAGAACUAUAUGAUUUGUUUGCUUGCUUCUUAGCAAAAUGUAAUAACAUUUUUGUUUUCAUAUAUUCGUUUUUCCCUCUGGUUGUUCCCCGAUAAUAAUUGAAAAGAAACCUUUUUGAAUCGAUGUGAGAUUAAAGUAAGUAUUUUUAAUUAAUUCCCAAGCUUCAAUAGAUUUAUUAAGUUGGCAAUUCGGUUUGUUUGUAUAUUUUUUAAAUGAAUUUUAUUUUUUGUGGAAUUAAUUAGAUGCGAUCCUGAUCAGGUUCAAUUUGUGAUAGAGUUAAUGAUUUUGUGUUUGAAUUGGGCCUUUUGAUGUGUUUGAUUUUAUGGGUAUUUGAUUUUGAACCACUUCUCUUUAUUAGAUUGUUUGUUUUAUACUACAAUGCUGGAAUGGAUGUUAGCAAAGAUGGGUGAUUUGUGGUCACCCUUAAUUUUGUAAAAUGGAUGAAAUGGCUAAUUCUUUGUUUGGUAGGAUUACUUAUUUUUAUCCUCUGCUUUGUGUUUCUUGAUGCAUGAUGAAUAGUGUUGUGUGCAUUGCCUGAGUGUAUUUUUUUUUAAUCUCCUAUGUAUGAGAAAUAGACAUUGAGAAGUUAAUUAUUUAUGUGCUCCUCCAUGCACAAAAAAUAAGGAAGGGGAACACUUAUGGAAUGCUUUUAAAUCGGUUAGGACAAAAGAAAAUUCAAGUAGGUUAAAAGGUUAAGAUCAUGGUUUGAAUUUAUAAGACAGAUAUUGAUUUCACUUGGAGUUUGAGGUCUCCGGCUUUAUCAGAUUCCAACUCCAAUAUUUGGUCUUCAAUCAGCAGAAUCAGGAAAUGGUUAAAAGGUUAGUCCUGUUCUUUGCUUUUAGAAUGAUCGAGUGUAUGGAAAGAAUGACAUGAAUGGGAUUUCUGGUCUCUUUUGUUGUUGCCUAGGUAUGGAGUGUAUUGAUGUGAAAAGAGUAUCAUGUUGCAGUGCGUAGACGGAUUGAAGCAUUUAUUUACUUUAGUGUUGCAAUGAUGUGAUAAUGAUUUGUACAAGCAAUCAAGAGGUCUUGUUGAUCCUGAACUUCUUGCAAGAGAGACUGUUUGUCUGUUAUCAUUUUUUUCUUUUCUUUUUAAAUAUUUUUCUAUAUUGCUUAUGUAAUUAAUUCAAUGCUUUUGCUUGAUUUAACAUUUGUUCAGUCUUUGCCUGUGUUAUUUUAGUUCUUAAGUCAUUCUACUGAAAUUUGUUUUUUGCUCAUCUUCAUGCAGUUAGUGUAAGUAGAAGCACUUUAUGAGCUUUUCAAGAAGAUAAUCAAUGUUGUUAUAAAUGAUGGGCUGAUUAACAGGGUCUUUGUUGUUUCGUAGUUCCCAUUUUGUUAUAUAAUUGAUAUCUUUUGUUAUGUUUGUCAAGUUUUUUGGCUUGAUGAUCACUCCUUGUCUUGAGUUGGUUCUUUCCCUCUCAUCUUUGCAGCAUUUAAGUUUUAUUUAUAUUACUAUUUGGCAAGAGGAGUUCCAAUUGGCGUGAUUCGAAACAAGCAAAAAGGAGAGUUUAUUUGCUGGUCGGAUAUUUGACUUGUUUGAUACAAAGCAUAAUGGAAUUCUAGGUUUCGAAGAGUUUGCUCGUGCUCUUUCUAUCUUCCAUCCAUUGACGAUAAGAAUGAUUGUAUGUGUUAAAUAUUUUAGUUAUUUGUAUACUUCGUCUCUUUGUUUACCUCUCUUAUUGUAAGUCAUAAUCUUGUUAACAUAGUAGUUGGAUGUAAAUGACUGGUAUGGAAAUGGAAUUAUGGACUUUUGUGCAUAGACAAUGUAUUCUUGUGUAUAUAUAUUUUCUUAGACUAGGGAUUUCUUUUUGUAA